rnacentral:rRNA from 1 species
GACGUAGGGCGCGAGCGUUGUCCGGAUUUAUUGGGCGUAAAGAGCUCGUAGGCGCUUGUCGCGUCGUUCGUGAAAACCUGCAGCUCAACUGCAGGCUUGCGGUCGAUACGGGCAGGCUAGAGUUCGGUGAGGGGAGACUGGAAUUCCUGGUGUAGCGGUGAAAUGCGCAGAUAUCAGGAAGAACACCCGUGGCGAAAGCGGCUCUCUGGAACGGUACUGACGCUGAGACGCGAAAGCGUGGGAGCGACAG